CACAUCUUUCCUACACGCCUUAAAAGGAAAUCCUCUUUCCCUUUCAUGCUUUCACAACGACACAUGUUGCUCUUGCUCUUACCCUUGCCCGAUCCCCUUUCUCACUCGAAAAUUGCUGCCGCCGGUAGCUCCCAUCAGCUUGAUUCCUUGAUUCAGUGCCUUGAGCUUGUUCGUCCUCACCUGCAGCCUGCCCUGCAGCUUGAUUCGUUUGUGCGGCCACAUGGCGACCUUCGACGACGGCUGGUUUGUCUCCUGAUCUCCUCGUACGCCUCCUCUAUCUCCGCCUAGGAUGGUAAACGGCGAUGGAGGGGUAGCAGGGCCCAAGGUGUAGCUGCGCAAGGGAGGAGGCGAGAUCAGGCGUGGAUUUCAUCUCCCGCAGCUGCUUUGAUCCAUCUUUACUAUGAGGAUGGUGUAGAUGUUUUCUGCCCCUAAAGCGCCGGCCAGACGCAUCCUCCACAUGGGCAACAUUCUUCAAAGUCUGAAGUGUGUUUCCCUACAGCAAGAAAUAAGGAGGCACAUAACUCGGAACGAUUGGACGUGGGGAGCAAAAAAAGAAAUAUUACCUUGUUGUUUACCGCAAAUAGUAGUAAAGGUCCAACCCCUAGGUAAAUAUCGCCCUUGAUGAAGAGGUUGAAUUCUGGCCACUUAUAGGGUCUGUCUAUGGCGUGUAUCUCAAGUCCCAACUCUCACCUGAUGGGUCUUCUAAUCUCCCUCUAGCUGGCUGACAGCAGAAUUCAUAUGUUAAUAACAAUGCUGAAAGAGCAAUCCAACCAUCCAAGGCAUAUGGUUUUGGAGAUCAGCAGUUUGCAAAUACGGAAGGAAAAAUUACCUUAUAGCAGCUAGCUGUUGGGGUGAAAGCAAAUUGUAAAUUUUUUGAUUCAGUUAUGUUUGCACGUGGUUGUACCACAUCAAAACUGAUAUAACCUUCCUAAUCUUAUGACAAUUCUUUCGCCUUAUUUUUUUUUGUAGCUGAGCGACUGCUUAUAUUCUUUUCCCUGGCGGCCAUACAUGCCUAUCUCUUGUGUAUUCAUUGAUCAAUUUUUGUUGAGCAUAUUAGCUACCAAUC